AUCACUGGAUCCACAGCUGCUGGGACAGCUAUGACAGGAUGACCUUCAAGAAAUUGAUUCAUCCUGUAGGUAGAUCUGUGAAAACUAUUUGGCACUGAAC